rnacentral:rRNA from 1 species
CCUACGGGAGGCAGCAGUGAGGAAUAUUGGUCAAUGGUCGGGAGACUGAACCAGCCAAGCCGCGUGAGGGAGGAAGGUACAGAGUAUCGUAAACCUCUUUUGUCAGGGAACAAAGACUGGGACGCGUCCCCGGAUGAGUGUACCUGAAGAAAAAGCAUCGGCUAACUCCGUGCCAGCAGCCGCGGUAAUACGGAGGAUGCGAGCGGUAUCCGGAUUUAUGGGGUUUAAAGGGUGCGCCGGAGGUCUGGUAAGUCAGCGGUCAAAGCCCGGGGCUCAACCCCGUCCCGCCGUUGAAACUGGCAGUCUCGAGUUGGAGAGAAGUAUGCGGAAUGCGCGGUGUAGCGGUGAAAUGCAUAGAUAUCGCGCAGAACUCCGAUUGCGAAGGCAGCAUGCCGGCUCCACACUGACGCUGAGGCACGAAAGCGUGGGUAUCGAACAGGAUUAGAUACCCGAGUAGUC